AUGCCAUUUUUAACCAUAAAUUUUUCUAAGAGUUUUAUUACCAAGGUGACCCAGAUCUCCUCUCCCCCAGGAAGAACCCAUGGAGACUCAGUGACCCAGACAGAAGGCAAAGUGAUCAUGUCAGAAGGGGCUUUGCUGACUAUAAACUGCACUUACUCAGCCUCAAGUUACCCUACUCUUUUCUGGUAUGUUCAAUACCCUGGAGAAAGUCUUCGGCUCCUCCUGAAAGCUGUGACAGCCAACGAUAAGGUCAGCAACAAAGGUUUUGAAGCCACAUAUAACAAAGAAGCCACUUCCUUCCACUUGGAGAAAGCCUCCGUCCAAGAGUCAGACUCGGCUGUGUACUAUUGUGCUCUGAGUGACACAGUGGCAGAAACUGCAGGGGGAGCUGAGCGGAAACUCUGA